CCAAUUAUGUAAAUUGGCAGCAAUCAUUUGCCCACAAAUUGCAGGAAAAUCCAAAGCAUCUGCUGGAAACAUUUGCAUCGCUUCUUUUUUCAUUCAGUCGUUAGUUUUUUCAGCAGAAUGUACCUUGAAGUGUGUUCGAUUGUGACCUUCUUAGCCCUGCUGAUGAUUUUGAUUUCGUGGAAAAUUACCAGCUAGAUUAUCUCACGCUUCUGCAUGUUUGGCCACAGUGAGGAUCAUGUUGCCUUGCAUCGCAAGUUCAGAAUUACGGCCUACCUCUUUGGAUCGAGAGAUGUUAGGCAAAUCAGUGCUGUCAGAGUCUCGGGCUGUCAAAUUAGGCAAAUCAGAGUCUCGGGCAAAAAAGAUGAAGCUCAAAACAGGACGUCUUGAUCAAUAAUGAAACCGUGAAAAUCCUCACUUUCUUAAUUUGAAAUUUUGGAUCAAAA